GGCGAGAUGGCCGAGCGGUCAAAGGCGCUGGUUUUAUUCAAAAGUCUCUUCGGGGGCGUGGGUUCGAAUCCCACUCUGGUCA
rfam:Angiostrongylus cantonensis strain Taiwan genome assembly, scaffold: ACAC_scaffold0004406